UUUCCCGUGGUCUAGUGGUUACGACGUCUCCUUUACACGGAGAAGAUCCCGAGUUCGAACCUCGGCGGGAAAA